rnacentral:rRNA from 1 species
UACGGAGGGUGCAAACGUUGCUCGGAAUCAUUGGGCGUAAAGCGCACGUAGGCGGCGAAGCAAGUUGGGUGUGAAAGCCCUGGGCUCAACCCAGGAAGUGCAUUCAAAACUGCUUCGCUUGAAUCUCGGAGGGGGUCAGAGAAUUCCCGGUGUAGAGGUGAAAUUCGUAGAUAUCGGGAGGAAUACCAGUGGCGAAGGCGGCUCACUGGUCCAUUACUGACGCUGAGGUGCGAAAGCGUGGGGAGCAAACAGG